rnacentral:rRNA from 1 species
AGAGUUUGAUCCUGGCUCAGGAUGAACGCUAGCUACAGGCUUAACACAUGCAAGUCGAGGGGCAGCAUGGACCCAGCUUUGCUGGGUUUGAUGGCGACCGGCGCACGGGUGAGUAACGCGUAUCCAACCUGCCCUUUACUCCGGGAUAGUCUCCUGAAAGGGAGUUUAAUACCGGAUGUGUUUGUCUUUCCGCAUGGGAGCGACAAAUAAAGAUUAAUUGGUAAAGGAUGGGGAUGCGUCCCAUUAGCUUGUUGGCGGGGUAACGGCCCACCAAGGCGACGAUGGGUAGGGGUUCUGAGAGGAAGGUCCCCCACAUUGGAACUGAGACACGGUCCAAACUCCUACGGGAGGCAGCAGUGAGGAAUAUUGGUCAAUGGGCGAGAGCCUGAACCAGCCAAGUAGCGUGAGGGAUGACCGCCCUACGGGUCGUAAACCUCUUUUAUAAGGGAAUAAAAUGAAGUACGCGUACUUCUUUGCAUGUACCUUAUGAAUAAGCAUCGGCUAACUCCGUGCCAGCAGCCGCGGUAAUACGGAGGAUGCGAGCGUUAUCCGGAUUUAUUGGGUUUAAAGGGAGCGCAGACGGGACUUUAAGUCAGCUGUGAAAUUUUCCGGCUCAACCGGGAAACUGCAGUUGAUACUGGCGUCCUUGAGUACGGUCGAGGCAGGCGGAAUUCGUGGUGUAGCGGUGAAAUGCUUAGAUAUCACGAAGAACCCCGAUUGCGAAGGCAGCCUGCCAGACCGCAACUGACGUUCAUGCUCGAAAGUGCGGGUAUCAAACAGGAUUAGAUACCCUGGUAGUCCGCACGGUAAACGAUGAAUACUCGCUGUCGGCGAUACACGGUCGGCGGCCAAGCGAAAGCGUUAAGUAUUCCACCUGGGGAGUACGCCGGCAACGGUGAAACUCAAAGGAAUUGACGGGGGCCCGCACAAGCGGAGGAACAUGUGGUUUAAUUCGAUGAUACGCGAGGA